rnacentral:misc_RNA from 1 species
UCAAAUACUUUCCUUUUCCUCAGCUCCACAAAUGCUUCAUGAAUGUCUAGUGGAAACCAAUCAUCAUCGUCAUCAUCCACUGCAGCUACUCUAGAAAGCCUUCGCCUGGAUUUUUUUGAAGAGCUAGCCGUUAGAUCAGAAUCUUUUAGCAGUUGCACUCCAAUCAUUUGAAGAGGUUUUGCAGCUUCAACUUCCUUGUCCUUCCUGUCACUUAUUUCUGGUUGGCUUUCAGUUUGCUCCACUUCUUCCUCCUCAUCUUGUGCCUCGUCAUCUUCUGCCUCAUCAUCUUCAGCAUCUUUGGUGAUAUCAUCAACAGCAUCAUUAUCAUCUACCACAUCAGUAGGUUCUAAGUCUAUUAUUUCCGACUGUUGGCCAUAAUUUUCACUUAAUCCCUCCCCAAGAAAGCGGCGUUUCCAG